rnacentral:rRNA from 1 species
AACCAGCUCUUCAAGUGGUCGGGAAUAUUAUUGGGCUUAAAGUGUCCGUAGCCGGUUUGGCAAGUUCCUGGUUAAAUCUGGCAGCUUAACUGUCAGUUGGCUAGGAAUACUGCCUUACUAGAGGGUGGGAAAGGUCUGAGGUACUCCAGGGGUAGCGGUGAAAUGCUAUAAUCCUUGGGGGACCACCAGUGGCGAAGGCGUCAGACUGGAACACGCCUGACGGUGAGGGACGAAAGCCAGGGGAGCGAACGGGAUUAGAUACCCCGGUAGUCCUGGCUGUAAACGAUGCGUGCUAGGUGUUGGUGGGGCUAUGAGCCGCAUCAGUGCCGUAGGGAAACUGUUAAGCGCGCCGCCUGGGAAGUACGCUCGCAAGGGUGAAACUUAAAGGAAUUGGCGGGGGAGCACCACAAGGGGUGAAGCCUGCGGUUC